AAACCCCUCUGCUUCCAGCCGUCAGUGAGCGCCACCCUCUCCAGGAACAGAUGUCCUGCGUUCUAAAUGAAGAGUGCAGAGCCCACAGCAAACAACUGUCCCCAGCAGCCCGGAUCCCUCUGACAUCAGCCCCCAGGAAUGUGCUGCAGACCCUCUAGCACGUUCAGGCCUCCCAGGGGAUACCCUCCCCUCCCCUCCUCCAUCCCAGUGUUUCACUGGGGACAGGCCUCUGAGCUGCAGACGGAGGCCCACGGAGGGUGGAAGACAGCCCACCCCGCUCCAGACCUGGAGACUGGAGGAGUGACUGGAGUGAGUGAGGCAGCCUUGAGUGGAGUGGAGCGGGAAGCCUGCCUGUGAAAGAGGCAGCUAGGCCAAUAGCUGGACUGUAGGAAGAACACGGAGCUGGACUGAUUCAACCAAGAGUCCUACCGACCGGUGCUCCCCUUGCCAAGAGUGAAGGCAGAUGCCGUGGGAUUCUGCCAGCUGCUGAGUACAUCUAUUUCCAUGAUGCUUUCCGGAAGUGGGGAAAUAGCACAGAAUGGGUUUCAGAUGGACGUAAGCUAAAAACCCAUAAGCCCCCACUUUGAUGUUCUGGGUCUCCUAGAAUUACUGUCAGCUCAGAACCAGUGGCCAGUAGUCCAAAAGAUCUGAUUAUUUCCUUUUCUCCAAUGCACGCUCAUCCUGGUGAAAGGUGUCUUUGGAGAACUGGGAGAAAGAAUACAGUAUAGAUUUCUGGCAGGCUACGAGGGUGCUUCCUUGAGGGUACCCAGCCUUUCCCUCAUUCAAGAGCUUCCAGUCUGAUAAAACUGGCUCAAGUACGGGAAUGGAUUGAGGGGUCAUGACUCUACUCUGCUUUUAUGAUUUGGGAUAGACUUUUGUUUGCUUGACCUAGAAGUUUUCUGCUUAUACAGAUUAAGUACGAACUUAGUAGGCUUCCUGUCUAUUUCACUUCGAGGAACAUCAUGAUCAACCAGCCAACACCACAGGUCUGCAGCAGUCAGACUGAUUUCUGCUUUGACUCCACUGUCCAAUAGGGUCAGCACGUCCACCUUGCCUUUGGUAGUACUACAGCCACGGGGCCCCCGCCACCCUGGAGCCAAUUACUCCGGUCGCAUUCAGGUUACUGGUUCAGUGGCUGCUGUUCCUGCUGUGAGGUCUGGCCUUCAGAGAAGAGUGAUCACAGCUCCUCAAGGAGGCUGGAGCUCCUUUCAUAUAUUUACUUCUCACCAUCAAGGUGAAAGGCAUGUCUUCAGGAGCUUCCCAGCGUGGGUGAGGAGGUCUUAAAGGGAAGCCAAACAUGCCGCAGACCACGCGGGAAUUCUUGGCCGUCCAGUGCUUGUCACAGAUCUGCUUCCAGGUCUUGCCCUCCUUCACCUCCACGUAGCCCUCCAUCACUGGGGUGCGCUUGCGGUAGGUUGAGAGGAUGGCUCGAAUCCGAAUGUCCUCCACCUGGAUAUUCAGGUUCUGGGAAGAAAGAGGCGUGGAAGGAGAGGGUUACCCUACUGGCCUGGCUGCAGAGACACCAGGCAACCAGUACUUCUUUAGCGACUAUGGGCCAGGCCUGCCGCGGGCCUGCCUGUGCCCUCAGGCCCUGCAGUGAGCUCUGGGCAACCCCGAGGGGCACACGGCCCAAGCUGCAGUUAGAAAGCGCUAUGCAUGGGAGAUAGUGAGGCUGAAAGGACCCAACAGGGAGUGGGGUGACCUGGAACAGUCAGAAAAGACUCAGAGACCCCAUGGGCUUCUCCUACAUCCGAACCUAAGAUCUUGGAGAGCAAAGGGCAGCAGCCUCCUCCUGCACCCUUCAGAAAAGCAAUGCAUUCUACUGCUUCCACGAUGUAAGAGAAAAGCAAAUAAAAACAUUCCCAUUGGAGAGAUUAGAAAACCAAGGAAAGAAACGGAGGCUCUUCAAGGUCGAUAAGCACCCCGGGGCCAGUCUCCUGACGUCCAGGCCCUGCUGAAACGUGUCUGUUCUCACGGCUGCUGGUCAGGGCUCAAACGACAGCACCUUGGAUCCAUUGUGGAGAACAAAGAGCUAAUUGAAAACAUCUGGGCUGAGGUUUUCCAACUGGCUUCUCAUUUUGGCCCGGUUUCCAAGCAGUCAAGCUCCACUGAAACAUACACUCCCUAAUCGAUUGCUGUCUCAACAACAAACCAAUGUUUGUCUUGCUAAGUUACUAGCAACAGGGAAGACCCUCCAUGUUCUAAGCGGAAUGUUCUGUCGCAAAGCUGCCAAAGUGACAGAGAUGGUGAAAAGCAGUGGCACCCUAUUCCAUCUGCAGUGAGAGAAACCCCCCUCGCUAAGGACCUGGAAGUCGACCAGUGCAUCAUCAAAGGAACUGAGAACAGCUGCAAACCAGAGACCCUAAGGAGCCUGCCCCAAAGAGCUGCUCUCUUAUGAAACUUCCAUGGACCCCCAAUAAUCUUCCAUGGACCCCUUCCACAUAUGCUUGGUCAAUUUCUACUUAGAUGGCAGAUAUGUGAAUCUGUACUUAGCCCAAGACAGCAUCACCAUGCAUGGUAUACUCGUUUGGCCUGAUUUCAUAACAAAAUUUUUUUUGUUUUUUGAGACAGUGUCUCACUCUGUCACUCAGGCUGGAGUGCAGUGGUGCAAUCAUAGCUCACUGCAACUUCCGCUUCCCAGGUUCAAGCAAUUCUCCCACCUCAGCCUCCCAAGUAGCUGGGACCAAAGGCGCAUGCCACCAUGCCCAGCUAAUUUUUGUAUUUUUUGGUAGAGAUAGGAUUUCACCAUGUUGGCCAGGCUGGUCUCGAACACCUGACCUCAGGUGAUCUGCCUGCCUCAGCCUCCCAAAGGGCUGGGAUUACAGGCAUGAGCCACUGCAAAGGGCCCUUUUUUUUCCCUCUACAGGCUUAGUGCUUAUUAACUAGACUACUCCGAUUCCAAUGCAACCAGCUUCUGGGUCUGCCUGCUGAAAAGCAGGGCGGUUCUAGGUACAAUCCAGUAGAUGCCUCCUCAGAGCUGCCAGGAAAGCCGUGUCCUUGGGACACAAGAUGACAGUCAAACUUUGGACACAAGAAAGCCAUUCAAUCAGAAGCCAAAUUUUAUGUUACUCUUUGCUUCCAAUGCCUCUCCUGAUGAAAGAAGAGAUAAAUAUAUAUAUACAAGUUAACAGAUCAUUAGGAAGGUGAAAAUCAUAAAUGAAAUUCAGUUGGAAUGCCAGAGCCCAGGACAAUGGAUAUUAUUCAAGUUAGACUGUGUGGGGUCACAAAUGGGUGCAGUGGGUCACGCCUGUAAUCCUAGCACUGUGGGAGGCCAAGGUGGGCAGAUCACUUGAGGCCAGGAGUUUGAGAUCAGCCUGGCCAACGUGGGAAAACCCCGUCUCUACUAAAAAUAGAAUUAAAAAAAUCAGCUGGGCCUAGUGGCGCACACCUGUAAUCCCAGCUACUCGGGGGGCUGAGAUGGGAGGAUCACUUGAAUUCGGGAGGCGAAGGUUGCAGUGAGCCUAGAUCCCACCACUGCACUCCAGCCUGGGUGAUAAAGCAAGACUCUGUCUCAAAGAAAAGGAAAGAAAAAAAUCUGUGGGGUUACAACAAUGUGGUUAUCGCUGGCUUCGUCGCUGUGGUCUAAAGAAUGAGGGAUGUGACUGGGAAUAGGCUUAGCCUCCUGAUUCUGAAGACAGGUGAAGGAGAGCAACCACCUUAGCUUCAGCUGCUAUAACCUCGAACAGGGGUUGAGAAUCAGGACAGCUGCUCCCUCCAGAACUCCCUAAAAGGGCCUGUGGUUUACCUGAGCUCAGAGAUGCUUUGGGAGAACAGUCUGUGAACAGGCCAGGCUAGAAAACCCAGAACGUCCCUGGUGCCCUCCCUGGUUUCACUGCUCCAGCCUGAAGUUCAGAGGAGCUUGAGGGGUCCUGGAGGGGCAGUCUUAUCCACGGUCUGACCGGCACGUUAAGCCCCUAAGCCCCACCGGAGCAAGCCCUGGGCGCUGGCCACUUUCUGUGCUCACUAUACCCAGAACUCUUUUGCCAACUCUUUUUCCUAUUCUGCCAAAUCAAAAUGAAUCAAUUAGCUAAUAUUCACUGAGUGCCCACCAUGUACCCAGUGAUAAAGAUCUGGACUGAUGCUGGUGAAAUUCAAAUAAAUUUAGAUGUAAAAAGGUCUCUCAUGUCAUAAACGAAGCACCACUUCACGUAAGCAGCUUAACUCGUAAAGCCGUGAACACAAGACAGAGUUUUUUUUUUUUCAAGCAUCUGUUUCUUUCUCCUCUCUUUGAUGUUAUUCCUUUUAUAAACCUUGAUGAUUUCCAUGUCCACAAAGAUGACCUUUCCAGUACUCCUGGUCUCUUCGUUAAUACACCUCCUCUCUCAGAGACUGUCCUCCAUCCUGCUCCAGCCGCUGUCCCAUGGUCAUAGCUCAGGUCUCUCAUUACCAGAGAUUGCACCCACCCUUCAAUCUCCAUUUCACCUUUCCUGCUCUGCACCCACACACAGCUCCCUUCAUCUUUUAGUAAACUUCUUGUAUCUCCAUCUGAACAGAGACUCGCAAUCCAGUGAUCACAGCAGCUAUGCACAAUCCUUCAACUUCUCCACUUAUUACAACCCUCCUUACCCAGCACAGUCUCCUUGGACCAUGAGUUUAAUCCUUCCCUUUCAUAUUCCCUCCACUCCUUGGAACUUUUCACUCUUCACCACGCUUGGAUGGCAAAGUCCCACCUGGGUAAAAACCUGUCUCCUACUACCCCGUGCCUGCUCCUGAUAGGGAAAAACCACAACCCCCUUGUCUGACAACAGGUGUUUUAAAUUGAGGUUGAAAUAAAAUUAAGUUGUCACUGGAAAAAUAC
rnacentral:lncRNA from 1 species